rnacentral:misc_RNA from 1 species
ACAAACAUAUUAAAAAACUUGUAAAAGCACAUAUACUCUGCUGCUGUUGUCCUCAGUCCUCACAUAGAACAAUCUAAAAAUGAAUUUACAACCAAAUACAUGAGAUUUUCAAGAUUACUCUCCGUGAAACUAUGAAGCUUUAAUACUCAAAAAAAAAAAUCACCUGAAAAAGUAAGAAACGUCGAAUCCUGAUAUUUCAAGAUCUACAACAUGCUCUUUUUUCUGGGAUGACUUGUGCAGGACCAGGUACAAGA